rnacentral:rRNA from 1 species
CUUGAACUUUAUAAGAGGUCCAGCCUGCCCAGUGACUCUGUUCAACGGCCGCGGUAUCCUAACCGUGCGAAGGUAGCGUAAUCACUUGUUCUUUAAAUGCGGACUAGUAUGAAUGGCACUACGAGGGUUAUACUGUCUCCUUUUUCUAAUCAGUGAAACUAAUUUUCCCGUGAAGAAGCGGGGAUAUAACUAUAAGACGAGAAGACCCUAUGGAGCUUUAAACAACCCAGCAAUUACUUCUAAAAUUGUAAAUUUCAGAAUAUUCAUUUCUUAAGUAAUAUGUCUGCAAGUUUUUGGUUGGGGUGACCAUGGAGAAUAACAUAACCUCCAUAUUGAAUGAAUUCCCUUCUAAGCUGAAAAUUACCAAUUGAAGCAUCAACAUACUGACAUCUAUUGACCCAAUAUAUUUGAUCAACGAACCAAGUUACCCUAGGGAUAACAGCGCAAUCCACUUCAAGAGCCCCUAUCGACAAGUGGGUUUACGACCUCGAUGUUGGAUCAGGGUAUCCCAGUGGCGCAGCC